AGUAUACAAUUUAUUUCUCCAUGGGCAACAAGACAUGCCAGCAACUGCACGGCUACUUCUCCAUUUAGCCAGACAGAGAAUAAAGGGUCCCUGUAUUCAUGCCUUCCUGGAAAUCUCAGUGCAAGGCCCUAUCAGGAGGUUUCCUGGAGCAGCUAAGGGAACAGCUAGACCACCCAGGAAGAAAUGACAGAAGCCUACCUGACUUCCAAUCUGCUUGCUUCAUGGUGUAAUGGGGGCCUAGACAGAAGCACCCCAAGGACACUUACAACAACUGUUCUGCCAGCUCUAGUCCAUUGGAGAAGAUGUGCCAACAUACCUUCUCACCAUCCCUAGAGCCCAACCUUGCUAUGGAAAGGUCAAACCCUUACCAUUGGCCCUGCCAAGGAUCCCCAGACAGAGAAGCACAAUGGAGGCCAUAAAUUAUGGCUUCUUAUCAUGGCCUCCACAUAACUUAAACUCUGGAUGGUGAAUGAAAUCUGGGGCCAAGUCUUAAAGGGUCAGGGUAGCCAAUGAGCAUAACUCAAUAUUUGUGUUUCUAAGAGAAAACCACAGAACCUCCAUAUCCAUGGCAAACUGGCCAGCCACAGGCUGGAUCCAGUGUGCAGUAGUGUUUUGUGUACACCAUUCACUAUUUGUCUACUUGGGUUAAAAAUGUUUUAUAUUAGUUAGCAAUGUUUAAACAUUGGGAGAAUUAAAGGGAAAUGAAAACGUACUUCCCACAAAUACUUGCACAUAAAUAUUCACAGCAGCAUUGUUUAUAAUUGCCCAAAACUAGAAACAACCCAAAUAUCCAUCAACUGAUGAAUGAUAAACAAGUUGUGGUAUAUUCAUCCAAUAAAACAAUAUUCAGCAAUAAAAAUAAACAAAUCAGGCACUUAAUAUAAUUGAAUAUCAAGGUCAUUAUGUUGAGUGAAAGAGGCCAGAAAAUAAAAGUAUACACUAUUUGAUUCCAUUUAUAUAAUAUUCUAGAAAAUGAAAACCAGUCUAUACUUACAGAAAACAAGGUGGUAGCUUACAGAGAUGGGGUAGAGGGAGGGAGAGAUGACAGAGAGGCAUAAAAAAACUUUCCGGACAAUGAAAAUGUUCUGUAUUUUAAUUGUGGUGAUGGUUUCAUGGAUGUACAAGUUCAUCAAAUCUCAUCAAGUUAAAUAUAUGCAUUUAUUUUAUAUUAAGUGUACCUCAAUAAAGCAGAAAAAUUUAAAAUUGGUAAUAUUUAUAUACAAA